UACGGGGGGGGCAAGCGUUGUUCGGAAUUACUGGGCGUAAAGGCUCGUAGGCGGCCAACUAAGUCAGACGUGAAAUCCCUCGGCUUAACCGGGGAACUGCAUCUGAUACUGGAUGGCUUGAGUUCGGGAGAGGGAUGCGGAAUUCCAGGUGUAGCGGUGAAAUGCGUAGAUAUCUGGAGGAAUACCGGUGGCGAAGGCGGCAUCCUGGACCGACAUUGACGCUGAGGAGCGAAAGCUAGGGGAGCAAACGGG
rnacentral:rRNA from 1 species